rnacentral:rRNA from 1 species
CCUACGGGUGGCAGCAGUGAGGAAUAUUGGUCAAUGGACGAGAGUCUGAACCAGCCAAGUAGCGUGAAGGAUGACUGCCCUAUGGGUUGUAAACUUCUUUUAUAUGGGAAUAAAACAGGGUGUGCAUACCCUCUUGUAUGUACCAUAUGAAUAAGGAUCGGCUAACUCCGGGCCAGAAGCCGCGGUAAUACGGAGGAUCCGAGCGUUAUCCGGAGUUAGUGGGUUUAAAGGGAGCGUAGGUGGAUUGUUAAGUCAGUUGUGAAAGUUUGCGGCUAAACCGUAAAAGUGCAGUUGAAACUGGCGGUCUGGAGUACAGUAGAGGGGGGCGGAAUUCGUGGUGUAGCGGUGAAAUGCGUAGAUAUCACGAAGAACUCCGAUUGCGAAGGCAGCUCACUGGACUGCAACUGACACUGAUGCUCGAAAGUGUGGGGAUCAAACAGGAUGAGAUACCCGGGUAGUC